rnacentral:lncRNA from 1 species
UUAAUUCACGACCCAACCAUUACUAUAUAUGCUGAUGAUAUUGUCAUUUUUUCAUCUUCGGCAAAAGGACUUCAGAGUAAAGUUGAUGUAAGUUAUUGUUAAGAUUUGUGUUUGAAAAUUAAUCCCAUUAAAACCAAGGUGCUUUUUUUUAACAAGGCAGGCAGACAUAUUAAACAUGAAUUUUAUUUUAAUAACAUACUUAUUGAUUGUGCUCAACGUUGUAAAUACUUUGGAAUAACUUUUAGUGCAUCUGGAUAUUUUUCCUUCACUCAGAGAGAAUUGUAUAGUAAGGCGUUAGAAGCCUACACAAGGACUUUCUGUCACUGAAUACAAGUUUAAAAAACAGCCUUUAUGUAAUUGAGCAUAUAAUUAAACCUAUUCUCUUAUAGAUUACUGAAAUGUGCGGAUAUUUCAAACCUUUCAAAAAAAAAAAAAUUAAAAUCUAUAACUACAACUAUAGAUCAGGCUUAUCCGAAGCUUCUUUCAGAAAGACUCCACAUUAAGUUUUGUAAACAUUUACUUGGUGUUACCAAAAGAGCAACACAUUUCGAUACUCUUUCUGAACUCGGUUGAUUCUCUCUGCAUUUUGACAUUGCAAAGUCUAUGAUCAGAAACUGACACCGGCUUGAAAAUUUGGGAUCAUCUUUCCACUUCCAGAGGAGACAUAUUUAGAGUCAAAACUAUUACACGAGUAAAAUAUUCCUUCAUAGUAAGAUCCUUAAUUUCUUUCUAAAGAAUAUUAAAGGGGUUAGCAAUCUACAUUGGUUACUAUAUGCUGACGAUAAUGUAUUUAUUUUUAACAUCAGCAAAAGGACUUCAGUAAACAAUAUUCAUACAUAGCUUGUAGCCAUGAUACUAUUUAAAAGAUAGAACUUUAUGCUUCAACUCAGCGCGCUUUUCUUUUAAAUCUGAAUACACUCAUACAAUAUAAACAUAAACAUUAUUUUCAACGUGCAUAUGUAUGUGAUAGUUGCCGCAGUACAUUUAAAUCUACCUUAUAUUAUCAUGGCUACAAAGUACUAAUAUUUGAUUCAACGCGUGUAGCAGUGUAAAAUAUAUACCAACAACUUUCAGGUUACUUUCUAGGUUAACACAAUGUUCAUUUGUGACAUCAUGAAUUAAGUUUUAUUCCGUACCAAUAAAUAAACAAAUAUCAAUGAUAUACCGCCAGAUCGACAUGCAAUCGAUAAAAAUAAAAACAACUCGUUAAAAACACCAGGACUCCGAAACGCAUUUGUGAAUUUUCAUUAAUCAUAAACGAUCAAAAGCCGAAUAUUUGAAAGCCAAUGGUUUAUAAAAACUGCAAUAGAUAAUACUCAACCCUAACAUAAUAUUUGGCUUAAUGCGAGCUGAUUAGUUGUCACUGUUACUCAUAAAUGAUGGUCGUUCGGAAUAUAUAACAAAAUGUAUGUUUGAUAAUACUUCAAUUUAAUGUUCUGCAUACCAUUAUCAGAGUAACAAAUUAAAUAAAAUUGUUUUUAGUAAACUUUUAUUAACAUGGUUAUGCAUGUGCACAGUACUUUUAAAAUAGCUUGAUAAAAGUUCGUCUAAAUACUUGAGUUAUGGUCAUCUUUCAAAGUUACGACCAUCUUGUGUCGGUUACGACCAUCAUCCAAAAUACUAUAGUUGACAUUACGACCAUCACAAGUUAAAGUUACGACCAUCAUGCUCGAAUUAUUGAAUGACUAUUUUACGAAAAUUGGAAUGAUUUUAUGUGUCAAAUUUGGUUUCAAUAAGAAUGCACUCACGAUAUGUGUAUAUGAGACAAGCGGUUUGACUCAAAUGAAUCUUUUACUGCACAAAAAUCGGAAAAGAAAAACUUAUCCCUAGAGUUGUCUCCCAUAUUCAGAUGGUCGUAACUUGAACCACCAAUGCUUGUGGAUAGAUUUUUCCGUUCAAGGCAGCCAGAAGUGCAUCUUGAAUAAAGAAGAAUGAAAGCUAAAUCGAAUAAGAAGCUCAAGGCCAAUCGUUGUGUUCAAAUUUCUUAAAGUACCAUUUAUGUAAGUUAAAAUGCAGCAAAAAAUGUCAACGAUCAGUAUUAUAGUAGUUUAAACAUAAUGUUUACAACUUAAUAGCAUGACAUAGUUUUGAUAAAGCAAUGCAUACGAAAAAAAAAAAAGGAAAUAGAAAAAUCUUGACACAAAUUCUAAAAGAAACAAAACGUGCAUAGAAUGCUAAAAUGGCAUGACUGAUACAUAUUUGUAUUAUCAUUAUUAGUAUUAUCGUAAUCAUUGAUAUGUUUAUCAAUAUUGUAAUAAUUAUCAUUGUUCUCAUUUUGACGUUACGCACGGUAUUGCGUCGCAAGACGUAACAUGUAUAAUUAACAAAUGUGACGCCAUAUACUAACUUUAACAUUUUGUUAUCAAGAGCGGAGAACCUACUCAAUCGACUUUUAUCAAAUAAAUACAAUAAGCUGAAGAAAUGUUUCAAAAUUUAUCAUGUAUAAGGC